GCCAGGUGUGGUGGCGGACUCCUGUAAUCCCAGCUACUCAGGAGGCUGAGGCAGGAGAAUCACUUGAACGCGGGAGGCAGAGGUUGCAGUGAGCUGAAAUCGUGCCACUGCACUCCUGCCUGAGUGACAGAGUGAAAUUCUGUCUCAC
rnacentral:sRNA from 1 species